AAAAUAAGUAAUAUGAUAAUCUUGAUUCAAUACUAUAUGUGUGUGUGUGUUUCUUUGUGCUUCUUUGGGGAUUCCAUAUAAAUAGAAUGCUCCUUUAAUUGCUCUACAUAGAUUGUUGUCUACAUUAUUUUAUUCAUGUAUCUGCUGAUUCCAAGGAUUGUCUAAAAGUUUAUCAUCCUGGAUGUGUGGGAAAGAAAGUUUCAUUUUUGGAGGGCAGAGAAAGCUGGACUUGCAAUUGGCACUAUUGCUCAAUAUGCCAUAAAUCUCCAAAGUUUCAGUGCUUUUGCUGUCCUUAUGCCAUAUGUGAGUGCUGCAUGAAUGCUGCUGAGUUUGCACCAACUCGUGGGAAGAAGGGAUUCUGCAGUGAGUAUUUGAAGCUUGUUCUAUGUGCAGAAGAAAACGUGGAGUAUGAUUCUGAUGGGGCGUGAAAGAAACCUCAUCAGCUGGUAAAAUCAAUAGUGAAAUUCUCCUGCAAGCUUCCAGUGUGCCAAUGGACAUUCGCAUUUCCCUGCUGUCUGAUUCUGACUUCACCAAGGAGGAAUUGGAGGAUUUGCAGCAAAAAGUAAAAAACGGCGUGCACAAAAAACUGACUGUUGUAUGUUCUGUCAUUCAUAAGCAGUUAUCUCUCAUUUAUGUUGUUUUUAGUAAGUACUCUUUUCAAAGUUUCUUACCUGG